rnacentral:rRNA from 1 species
CCUACGGGCGGCAGCAGUGAGGAAUAUUGGUCAAUGGACGAGAGUCUGAACCAGCCAAGUAGCGUGAAGGAUGACUGCCCUAUGGGUUGUAAACUUCUUUUAUAUGGGAAUAAAAUGUUCCACGUGUGGGAUUUUGUAUGUACUAUAUGAAUAAGGAUCGGCUAACUCCGUGCCAGCAGCCGCGGUAAUACGGAGGAUCCGAGCGUUAUCCGGAUUUAUUGGGUUUAAAGGGAGCGUAGGUGGAUUGUUAAGUCAGUUGUGAAAGUUUGCGGCUCAACCGUAAAAUUGCAGUUGAUACUGGCAGUCUUGAGUACAGUAGAGGUGGGCGGAAUUCGUGGUGUAGCGGUGAAAUGCUUAGAUAUCACGAAGAACUCCGAUUGCGAAGGCAGUUCACUGGACUGCAACUGACACUGAGGCUCGAAAGUGUGGGUAUCAAACAGGAUUAGAUACCCUGGUAGUC